AAUGACUCUCGACAACGGAUAUCUCAGCUCUCGCAUCGAUGAAGAACGUGGCAAAAUGUGAUACUUGGUGUGAAUUACAGAAUCUCGUGAACCAUCGAGUCUUUGAACACAUGUUGCACCUGAAGCCAUUAGGUCGAGGGCACGUCUGGAUGGGUGUCACGCAACG
rnacentral:rRNA from 1 species